rnacentral:rRNA from 1 species
CUCCUACGGGAGGCAGCAGCUAGGAAUUUUGCGCAAUGGGGGAAACCCUGACGCAGCAACGCCGCGUGAAUGAUGAAGGCCUUCGGGUUGUAAAGUUCUUUUAGCAGGGACGAAAAAAAUGACUGUACCUGCAGAAAAAGCACCGGCAAACUUCGUGCCAGCAGCCGCGGUAAUACGAAGGGUGCAAGCGUUACUCGGAAUCACUGGGCUUAAAGCGUUUGUAGGUCGUUUUGUAAGUUUGAUGUGAAAUCCCACUGCUCAAAGGUGGAAGUGCAUUGAAUACUGCUAAACUAGAGUAUAGGAGAGGUGGACGGAAUUCCUGGUGUAGAGGUGAAAUUCGUAGAUAUCAGGAGGAACAACGGAGGCGAAGGCGGUCCACUGGACUAUAACUGACACUGAAAAACGAAAGUGUGGGGAGCAAACAGGAUUAGAUACCCUGGUAGUCCACACCGUAAACUGUGAAUACUAGAUGUCGGGAUCCUACUGUCUCGGUGUCGUAGCGAAAGCGUUAAGU